CCCUAUUAUAAUUAAUGUAAUUAAAGUUUUUAGUAGUAUAUGAUUCGGGCAGGAAACUUAAAGAAUUUGGCGGUGUGUAUUCUGAUUAGAGGAAUAUGAUUUUUAAUUGAUAACCCACAAAUAUCUUACUUGAAUUUAUUUAUUUUGUAUACCUCCGUCUUAAAAAGAUUUUUUAAAAUAUUUUUUAUAUCUUGAAGGUUAAAAAAAGUCAGGUCAAGGUGCAGAUUAUAUUUAAGUUAAAUUGUAUUACAAUAAAUUUAUUUUUGGUUCUUUUCUGAACAGGUUAAGUUAAAUUGGAUUUAUAAGUAAAUAAUUUUUAUAAUAAUUUAUUGAAUUAUGUUAAUACACAUGUACACAUC
rnacentral:rRNA from 1 species